rnacentral:rRNA from 1 species
UGGCUACAGAACGAACGCUGGCGGCAUGCCUAACACAUGCAAGUCGAACGAGACCUUCGGGUCUAGUGGCGCACGGGUGCGUAACGCGUGGGAAUCCGCCCUUGGUUCGGAAUAACAGUUAGAAAUGACUGCUAAUACCGGAUGAUGACGAAAGUCCAAAGAUUUAUCGCCGAGGGAUGAGCCCGCGUAGGAUUAGCUAGUUGGUGAGGUAAAGGCUCACCAAGGCGACGAUCCUUAGCUGGUCUGAGAGGAUGAUCAGCCACACUGGGACUGAGACACGGCCCAGACUCCUACGGGAGGCAGCAGUGGGGAAUAUUGGACAAUGGGCGAAAGCCUGAUCCAGCAAUGCCGCGUGAGUGAUGAAGGCCUUAGGGUCGUAAAGCUCUUUUACCAGGGAUGAUAAUGACAGUACCUGGAGAAUAAGCUCCGGCUAACUCCGUG